GUCUCUGUAGCUCAGUUGGUUAGAGCGCUGCACCCUGAGCUACAGAGGCCAGCUGUUGAGCUGCAACCGUAAGUUCAUGUAUAUAUAGGUAAUCGGGUGUGCGGGUUGUGAUAAGGUGGACUUGAAUAACUUGAAUCGCAGGGCCGUAGGUUCAAUUCCUACCAGAGGACC